AUUGAACGCUGGCGGCAGGCCUAACACAUGCAAGUCGAACGAGUGGCGGACGUGUGAGUAAUGUCUGGGAAACUGCCUGAUGGAGGGGGAUAACUACUGGAAACGGUAGCUAAUACCGCAUACCAUCCGAUGUUCCCAGAUGGGAUUAGCUUGUUGGUGGGGUAACGGCUCACCAAGGAGACGAUCCCUAGCUGGUCUGAGAGGAUGCCCAGGCACACUGGAACUGAGAGACGGUCCAGCGGCCUACGGGCGGCAGCAGUGGGGAAUAUUGGACAAUGGGCGCAAGCGUGAUGCAGCCAUGCCGCGUGUAUGAAGAAGGCCUUCGGGUUGUAAAGUACUUUCAGCGGGGAGGCGUUACCCGGAGAAGAAGCACCGGCUAACGCCGUGCCAGCAGCCGCGGUAAUAC
rnacentral:rRNA from 1 species